rnacentral:rRNA from 1 species
UACGUAGGGGGCAAGCGUUGUCCGGAAUCAUUGGGCGUAAAGCGCACGUAGGCGGCUUUCUAAGUCAGGGGUGAAAUCCUGGAGCUCAACUCCAGAACUGCCUUUGAUACUGGAGAGCUUGAGUCCGGAAGAGGUGAGUGGAACUCCGAGUGUAGAGGUGAAAUUCGUAGAUAUUCGGAAGAACACCAGUGGCGAAGGCGGCUCACUGGUCCGGUACUGACGCUGAGGUGCGAAAGCGUGGGGAGCAAACAGG